UACGAAGGGGGGCUAGCGUUGCUCGGAAUCACUGGGCGUAAAGGGUGCGUAGGCGGGUCUUUUAAGUCAGGGGUGAAAUCCUGGAGCUCAACUCCAGAACUGCCUUUGAUACUGAGGAUCUUGAGUUCGGGAGAGGUGAGUGGAACUGCGAGUGUAGAGGUGAAAUUCGUAGAUAUUCGCAAGAACACCAGUGGCGAAGGCGGCU
rnacentral:rRNA from 1 species